CAUUUAAGACUGAGGUGAGAAAAACUUUUUCACCCACAGCCCAAUUCACUGGAAGUAUUUAAGAGAGAUUAGGAUAUAGCUCUUAGGGCUAACGGAAUCAAGGGAUGUGGGAAGAAAGCAGGAACGGGGUACUGAUUCUAGAUGAUCAGCCAUAAUCAUUUU